rnacentral:lncRNA from 1 species
UCAAAUCCUAUUAUCACACUGUUUUGAAGUCGCUGACAAAUAUGGCAGGGGAGUACCCAAGAUCUGUACUAAUAGUCCUUGUUAUUUUCUCUCUGGUCGUGUCUCCCAUGUUACCUUGUGCUACGGCUCGUCCUCAUGGUACAAACCUGUAAACCACUAAAUAUAUUCCUGACCAGAAAAAUUGAGGCAGUUUGUUUAAGGGCAUUGAUUUUUUAAUAUUGAUAUUCUCUGUUACAGUUGUAUGUCCUGCUUGUGCAUGUUGCGGGCCUCCACCACCAGGCGGAGCCUGCUGUAGCUGCGGAUGCGCUUCGGUUCAAUCUCCACCCUCCGAAAUGGCAACUCCUUGAGAUAGAUUACUGGAUUUUAGUUGCUUCAGGGAUCCAUUUAGUAGCUCCAUAAAUGAUC